UACGUAGGGGGCAAGCGUUGUCCGGAUUUAUUGGGCGUAAAGAGCGUGUAGGCGGUUCGGUAGGUCCGUUGUGAAAACUCGAGGCUCAACCUCGAGACGCCGGUGGAAACCAUCAGGCUAGAGUCCGGAAGAGGAGAGUGGAAUUCCUGGUGUAGCGGUGAAAUGCACAGAUAUCAGGAAGAACACCCGUGGCUAAGGCGGCUCUCUAGUACGGUACUGACGCUGAGACGCGAAAGCGUGGGGAGCGAACAGG
rnacentral:rRNA from 1 species